rnacentral:rRNA from 1 species
GGGGAAUCUUCCGCAAUGGACGAAAGUCUGACGGAGCAACGCCGCGUGAGUGAUGACGGCCUUCGGGUUGUAAAGCUCUGUUAAUCGGGACGAAUGGUUCUUGUGCGAAUAGUGCGAGGAUUUGACGGUACCGGAAUAGAAAGCCACGGCUAACUACGUGCCAGCAGCCGCGGUAAUACGUAGGUGGCAAGCGUUGUCCGGAAUUAUUGGGCGUAAAGCGCGCGCAGGCGGAUUGGUCAGUCUGUCUUAGAAGUUCGGGGCUUAACCCCGUGAUGGGAUGGAAACUGCCAAUCUAGAGUAUCGGAGAGGAAAGUGGAAUUCCUAGUGUAGCGGUGAAAUGCGUAGAUAUUAGGAAGAACACCAGUGGCGAAGGCGACUUUCUGGACGAAAACUGACGCUGAGGCGCGAAAGCCAGGGGAGCGAACGGGAUUAGAUACCCCGGUAGUCCUGGCCGUAAACGAUGGGUACUAGGUGUAGGAGGUAUCGACCCCUUCUGUGCCGGAGUUAACGCAAUAAGUACCCCGCCUGGGGAGUACGACCGCAAGGUUG